rnacentral:lncRNA from 1 species
GCAAUAGAAUCUCUCAAUAUGGCUGAAUGAGGCUGCCUAAAGCCCUAGAAGGAGGAAGUGGAUAAGUGCCUUAUCCAAAAAGAUGGCAGCCUCAGGUCUUAUCAGAGGACAGCAGCUUCCUUACUCCCCCUACCUCUGGCUAAGUCACAAAGUGCCACAGCAGAGUAACCAGAUGGAUGGGGGAGAAGGGGUAGCUGUAGAAUUAUGAGCUAGAAUAUAGUUUUACAGGCCUAUUAGUUCACAGUUACACUAUCCCAAUCAGUUGCUUUAUACUAAUGUGUUGUUAUGAGAGGUGGGGUGAAUAUUCAAAGAGACAUAGUGGGGAGGCUGAAACUACAGGAGUUGAUAUGCUGCUGCCCACAGGAAAAGGGAGGAGUCAUGGCUUCCCACCAUAAGCUCCUACCCCCCAGGAUGGCCUCAUCCCCUUCCUAGUAAUCCUAAAGAUUAUAUGAUCCAGGAGCUAUAGCCCUUUUGCUCUGCCUGCUGCUCAGCACAUUACUUUGGGUUCUAGUUUGAUAAGAAGACUUCCUGUGGUGGAAAUUGAAAGAAAGAGGAAAGAGCUGCCCAUUUCUGCUCAGGAGGUUGUGGGAGAAGGAUGGCCAGAGCUUUGUGUUCACUACAUGCCUUCUGGCUUCUGGAGUGGGCACUACUGCUCUUGGGACCUAGUGCUGUCCCAACAGCCUUGGCCUUGAACUUGGACCCUGUGGGACUCACUUUCUAUACAGGCCCCAAUAACAGCCACUUCGGAUUUUCACUGGACUUUCACAAGGACAACCAUGGAAGGUGAGCCUUGGGGGGAGUUGGGUAGUGGUGAGAAAGGACCCCCCCCCCCGCAUACAUACACACACUUACACUGCUUCUGUGGGCUUCUAGUUCCCCAUUUGUGACAGUAGUUGAGGAUUCUGGAGUUUAUUUGGGUUGAGCUCUUGUCAGGAAUGCUGGGGAGAUACUGGUUCAGGUGAGGAUGUCAGGGAGGAGUACCAAUGGAGAGAUGGGCACUGAAACUACAGCAAGAAGACAAAAGAGGGCUGGGGAUGUGGCUCA